rnacentral:lncRNA from 1 species
AGGGGGAGAAGCCACCAACGGAAUAACUUAUCUCCUAGCGGCUGGGGAAAAGGGCCACAGGAUAGAGCUCAGCUCCCACUCCACUCAACGCCAAAGCUGUCCUGGAGCCAGACGGUCCUGAGCUCUGGCACUGGAGGCCUGGGAGCCAUGCCCUUGACCAGCCUUGAGACCUCGAGCAAGACAAGGCAACCAUUCUGAGGCUGAGUUUCCUGCUCUGCAAACGACAUGACACCCUCGGCUGGAUGUUGCAGCGGUGACACUGAAGUAGUGACACCAGACGAUUUCUGUACUUAAUGUGAUGUCAGCACUUAGUAAACAUUCAUAUCCCCUGCCUCCAGAGUUCCUUAAGGUUCAAUUGAUGGAAUGCCUCCUCUGCACCAGCACCUGGGCAGUAGAGACGGAGUUUCACCGUGUUAGCCAGGAUGGUCCCGAUCUCCUGACCUCGUGAUCCGCCUGCCUCGGCCUCCCAAAGUGCUGGGAUUACAGGCAUGAUGAGCCACUGCGCCCGGCCUAUUUCAACUUAAGUGAAAAUCUCACCUGUGGCCAGCGGCUACCGUGCUGGACAGCACAGUGCUCAUCUGAGGAGGCAGGACGCAGCCUCUCCGCCUCUUUGCUUAUUCUGCUGACUGACCGCCUCUCCAGCCAGAGCAUGAGCUGAAAAACGACAGCAACUUGUUUCUACAUCCCGUGCCUUAACCAGAGCCUGGCACGUAGUACAUCCUCGAUGAACAUUUGCAGAAUCAAUGACUUUGCAAAGUGAGAAGUGCUUGGUGAAUACCAAAGAGUCAGACAUGCUGGAGGUUAGGGCAGGAGGUGCGACUUUAGUUACGACCUGCAGAGAAGGCCCGUGGGCCCAGACUUGAAUAAGGAGGAGACAAAGGGGUGACAGGAGGAAAGUAUGCCAGGCUGAGGGGACAGCCCUGCACGCAGCUUCUGAGGACUCCAGCCUAGACAUGGAGGGAGAGAUGUGACUCAGCCAAACAGGGACCCAAAGACAGUGGCUGAAGCAGGUGCUGCUCCUGGGUCAGAAAGACCUGAGUUCCGGGCGGGGCACAGUGGCUCACGCCUGUAAUCCCAGCACUUUGGGAGGCCGGGGCGGGCAGAUCACUUGAGGUCAGGAGUUCAAGACCAGCCUGGCC